AAUGAACGCUGGCGGCAGGCCUAAACAUGCAAGUCGAACGCUGUAGCAAUACAGAGUGGCGCACGGGUGAGUAACAUGUGGGAAUAUGCCUUUUGGUACGGAACAACGUUUGGAAACGAACGCUAAUGCCGUAUGGUCCCUUCGGGGUAAAGAUUUAUCGCCAAAAGAUUAGCCCGCACUGGAUUAGCUAGUUGGUAGGGUAAUGGCCUACCAAGGCGACGAUCCAUAGCUGGCUGAGAGGACGAUCAGCCACACUGGGACUGAGACACGGCCCAGACUCCUACGGGAGGCAGCAGUUAGGAAUAUUGGACAAUGGGCGCAAGCCUGAUCCAGCCAUGCCGCGUGAGUGAUG
rnacentral:rRNA from 1 species